rnacentral:rRNA from 1 species
UACGAAGGGGGCUAGCGUUGCUCGGAAUCACUGGGCGUAAAGCGCACGUAGGCGGAUUGUUAAGUCAGGGGUGAAAUCCUGGAGCUCAACUCCAGAACUGCCUUUGAUACUGGCAAUCUCGAGUCCGGGAGAGGUGAGUGGAACUGCGAGUGUAGAGGUGAAAUUCGUAGAUAUUCGCAAGAACACCAGUGGCGAAGGCGGCUCACUGGCCCGGUACUGACGCUGAGGCACGAAAGCGUGGGGAGCAAACGGG